AACUUUCAACAACGGAUCUCUUGGCUCUCGCAUCGAUGAAGAACGCAGCGAAAUGCGAUAAGUAAUGUGAAUUGCAGAAUUCAGUGAAUCAUCGAAUCUUUGAACGCACCUUGCGCCCUUUGGUAUUCCGAAGGGCAUGCCUGUUUGAGUGUCAUGAAAACCUCAUCCCAUCGGGUUUCCGAUGACGAUGGAUCUGGGUGUUGCCGUCCUGGCUCGCCUUAAAAGUGUUAGCGGUUCCGAGGUCGAAUCUGGC
rnacentral:rRNA from 1 species